rnacentral:rRNA from 1 species
ACUCCUACGGGAGGCAGCAGUGGGGAAUAUUGGACAAUGGGCGAAAGCCUGAUCCAGCCAUGCCGCGUGUGUGAAGAAGGUCUUCGGAUUGUAAAGCACUUUAAGUUGGGAGGAAGGGCAGUAAGCGAAUACCUUGCUGUUUUGACGUUACCGACAGAAUAAGCACCGGCUAACUCCGUGCCAGCAGCCGCGGUAAUA